rnacentral:rRNA from 1 species
GAUGAACGCUGGCGGCGUGCCUAAUACAUGCAAGUCGAGCGAACAGACGAGGAGCUUGCUCCUCUGACGUUAGCGGCGGACGGGUGAGUAACACGUGGAUAACCUACCUAUAAGACUGAGAUAACUUCGGGAAACCGGAGCUAAUACCGGAUAAUAUAUUGAACCGCAUGGUUCAAUAGUGAAAGACGGUUUUGCUGUCACUUAUAGAUGGAUCCGCGCCGCAUUAGCUAGUUGGUAAGGUAACGGCUUACCAAGGCGACGAUGCGUAGCCGACCUGAGAGGGUGAUCGGCCACACUGGAACUGAGACACGGUCCAGACUCCUACGGGAGGCAGCAGUAGGGAAUCUUCCGCAAAGGGCGAAAGCCUGACGGAGCAACGCCGCGUGAGUGAUGAAGGUCUUCUGAUCGUAAAACUCUGUUAUUAGGGAAGAACAAAUGUGUAAGUAACUAUGCACGUCUUGACGGUACCUAAUCAGAAAGCCACGGCUAACUACGUG